rnacentral:rRNA from 1 species
UCCAGACUCCUACGGGAGGCAGCAGUAGGGAAUAUUGCUCAAUGGGGGAAACCCUGAUGCAGCGACGCCGCGUGGGUGAAGAAGCGCCUCGGCGCGUAAAGCCCUGUCAGCAGGGAAGAAAAUGACGGUAUCUAACGAAUAAGCACCGGCUAACUCCGUGCCAGCAGCCGCGGUAAUACGGAGGGUGCAAGCGUUACUCGGAAUCACUGGGCGUAAAGAGCGCGUAGGCGGGAUAGCAAGUCAGAUGUGAAAUCCUAUGGCUUAACCAUAGAACUGCAUUUGAAACUGUUAUUCUAGAGUAUGGGAGAGGUAGGUGGAAUUCUUGGUGUAGGGGUAAAAUCCGUAGAGAUCAAGAGGAAUACUCAUUGCGAAGGCGACCUGCUAGAACAUAACUGACGCUGAUGCGCGAAAGCGUGGGGAGCAAACAGGAUUAGAUACCCGUGUA